rnacentral:rRNA from 1 species
UACGUAGGGUGCAAGCGUUGUCCGGAAUUAUUGGGCGUAAAGAGCUCGUAGGCGGUUUGUCGCGUCUGCUGUGAAAACUCGGGGCUUAACCCCGGGCCUGCAGUGGGUACGGGCAGACUAGAGUGCGGUAGGGGAGACUGGAAUUCCUGGUGUAGCGGUGAAAUGCGCAGAUAUCAGGAGGAACACCGGUGGCGAAGGCGGGUCUCUGGGCCGGUACUGACGCUGAGACGCGAAAGCGUGGGGAGCAAACAGG